rnacentral:rRNA from 1 species
UACGUAGGGGGCGAGCGUUGUCCGGAUUUAUUGGGCGUAAAGGGCUCGUAGGCGGUUUGUCGCGUCGGGAGUGAAACCACCGGGCUUGAACUCGGUGCUGGCUUUCGAUACGGGCGACUAGAGGUGAUUCAGGGGAGAACGGAAUUCCUGGUGUAGCGGUGAAAUGCGCAGAGUAUCAGGAGGAACACCGGUGGCGAAGGCGGUUCUCUGGGACGGUACUGACGCUGAGACGCGAAAGCGUGGGGAGCGAACAGG